AGUGAACGCUGGCGGUAGGCCUAACACAUGCAAGUCGAACGGCAGCACAGUAAGAGCUUGCUCUUACGGGUGGCGAGUGGCGGACGGGUGAGGAAUACAUCGGAAUCUACUUUUUCGUGGGGGAUAACGUAGGGAAACUUACGCUAAUACCGCAUACGACCUACGGGUGAAAGCAGGGGAUCUUCGGACCUUGCGCGAUUGAAUGAGCCGAUGUCGGAUUAGCUAGUUGGCGGGGUAAAGGCCCACCAAGGCGACGAUCCGUAGCUGGUCUGAGAGGAUGAUCACCCCCCCUGGAUGUGGAACACGUUCCAGAUUCCUACGGCAGCCAGCGGUGGGAAUUAUUGGCAAAUGGGCGCAAGCCUCAUCCACCCAUCCCGCGUGGGUGAAGAAGGCCUUCGGGUUUUAAAGCCCUUUUGUUGGGAAAGAAAAGCGGCAGGUUAAACCCCCGCUGUUCUGUCGUUCCCCAAAGACUAUGCCCCGGCUAACUUCGU
rnacentral:rRNA from 1 species